GACGAACGCUGGCGGCGGGCUUAACACAUGCAAGUCGAACGGAAAGGCCCUGCUUUUGUGGGGUGCUCGAGUGGCGAACGGGUGAGUAACACGUGAGUAACCUGCCCUUGACUUUGGGAUAACUUCAGGAAACUGGGGCUAAUACCGGAUAGGAGCUCCUGCUGCAUGGUGGGGGUUGGAAAGUUUCGGCGGUUGGGGAUGGACUCGCGGCUUAUCAGCUUGUUGGUGGGGUAGUGGCUUACCAAGGCUGUGACGGGUAGCCGGCCUGAGAGGGUGACCGGCCACAUUGGGACUGCGAUACGGCCCAGACUCCUACGGGAGGCAGCAGUGGGGAAUAUUGCACAAUGGGCGGAAGCCUGAUGCAGCAACGCCGCGUGCGGGAUGACGGCCUUCGGGUUGUAAACCGCUUUCGCCUGUGACGAAGCGUGAGUGACGGUAAUGGGUAAAGAAGCACCGGCUAACUACGUG
rnacentral:rRNA from 1 species